ensembl:miRNA predicted gene, 27843
UAUCCAGUUUUCUCUCAUUUGUGCUUCCUACCUUUUUUACAGUCACAUGGAAUCCAUGUACAUCUGUACUGAAUGGAUGCAGAAGUGAAGUUGUCUAGGGAAGG